GACGUGGGGCGCGAGCGUUGUCCGGAUUUAUUGGGCGUAAAGAGCUCGUAGGCGGCUUGUCGCGUCGACUGUGAAAACUCGGGGCUCAACUCCGAGCUUGCAGUCGAUACGGGCAGGCUAGAGUUCGGUAGGGGAGACUGGAAUUCCUGGUGUAGCGGUGAAAUGCGCAGAUAUCAGGAGGAACACCGAUGGCGAAGGCAGGUCUCUGGGCCGAUACUGACGCUGAGGAGCGAAAGCGUGGGGAGCGAACAGG
rnacentral:rRNA from 1 species